rfam:Porphyromonas gingivalis W83, complete genome.
GCAGCAGAUCGGUCUGUCGCUCACUCUUUCGAGAGUGGGAGGAACGUCCGGGCAACGCAGAGCACCAUCCUUCCUAACAGGAAGUUACUCGUGAGGGUAAAGGAGCGUAGAAGAGAAUGACCGCCAUUUUCCAUGAGUUGUCUGUGCUUCGGUACGGACUACGUGGAGGGUAAGGGUGAGAAGGUGGGGUAAGAGCCUACCGGAUGCAGCGGUGACGCUGCAUGCCGUACGUCUGAUGGGUUGUAAGAUCAUGUAUACCGGCGCAUGUAGGGUGGCUCGCCCGAUGCCGGGGGGUAGAUCGCUGGAGCCAUGCGGUGACGCACGGCCAAGAUAAAUGACAGACGCUCUGGCUACGUGUGGCCGUGAGUACAGAACCCGGCUUACAGAUCUGCUGCUUUU